rnacentral:rRNA from 1 species
UACAGAGGUCUCAAGCGUUGUUCGGAUUCAUUGGGCGUAAAGGGUGCGUAGGUGGCGCCGUAAGUCGGGUGUGAAAUUUCGGAGCUUAACUCCGAAACUGCAUUCGAUACUGCGGUGCUUGAGGACUGGAGAGGAGACUGGAAUUCAUGGUGUAGCAGUGAAAUGCGUAGAGAUCAUGAGGAAGACCAGUGGCGAAGGCGGGUCUCUAGUACGGUACUGACGCUGAGACGCGAAAGCGUGGGGAGCGAACAGG